GACGAACGCUGGCGGCGUGCUUAACACAUGCAAGUCGAACGGAAAGGCCUCUUUCGGGGGGUACUCGAGUGGCGAACGGGUGAGUAACACGUGAGUAACCUGCCCUUGACUUUGGGAUAACUUCAGGAAACUGGGGCUAAUACCGGAUAGGAGCUCCUGCUGCAUGGUGGGGGUCGGAAAGUUUCGGCGGUUGGGGAUGGACUCGCGGCUUAUCAGCUUGUUGGUGGGGUAGUGGCUUACCAAGGCUUUGACGGGUAGCCGGCCUGAGAGGGUGACCGGCCACAUUGGGACUGAGAUACGGCCCAGACUCCUACGGGAGGCAGCAGUGGGGAAUAUUGCACAAUGGGUGGAAGCCUGAUGCAGCAACGCCGUGGGCGGGAGGACGGCCUUCGGGUUGUAAACCGCUUUCGCUCAUGACGAAGCUUUGUGUGACGGUAGUGGGUAAAGAAGCACCGGCUAACUACGUG
rnacentral:rRNA from 1 species